rnacentral:sRNA from 1 species
UUGUGUAAUGGAUUGAAGAGGAGCUCUUUUUUAUCUCUUUUUUUACGGGAUAAAAAAGCGGGAACGGAAAGCCUGACCCGUA